ACCAAGGAGGAGAAUAUCUUUCCGGUGAGUUUUUGACAUAUCUAGAAGAGGAUAGGAUUCUCUCUUAUUAAAUCGACUUUGUUAGACAUAGUUCGAUCCAUGAUGAAAUUUACAAGUCUGUCGGUCUCCUUUUAGGGUUAUGCUUUUGAGACUACUUGUCAUGUUCUGAACUGGAUUCUGAAUUAAUCAGUUGCAAUAACUUCAUAUGAGAUAUG
rnacentral:lncRNA from 1 species